GAGUUGAUAGCUCAGCUGGUAGAGCACUCGGCUUUUAACCGAUCUGUCCUGGGUUCGAAUCCCAGUCGACUCA
rnacentral:tRNA from 1 species